AAAAUAGCUAAGAUUCCAUUUCUGAUAUUAGUAAAGCUAUACCAGAUUAUUAUUUAUUAUUUUUUUUUUUGAGACACAGUCUCACUCUGUCACUCAAGCUGGAAGGCAGUGGCGUGAUGACAGCUCACUGCAGCUUCAACCUCCUGGGCUCAUGCAUUCCUCCUGCCUCAGCUUCCCAAGUAGCUGGAAGCACAGACAUGCACCACUAUGCCCAGCUAAUUUUUUUUUUUUUUUUUUUUGUAGAGACAAUGUCCCACUAUGUUUCCCAGGCUGGUCUCAAACUUCUGGGCUCAAGUGAUCCAUCUGGGCCUCCCAAAGUGCUGGAAUUACAGAUGCCAGGAACAAGGCUGGCCCUCUAGUGGACAAUGCAGUGGCCUGAGCCUAAAGUCUAUACCCAAAAUAGCAAGAAUGUGCCCAUAUGAUGGUGUCUCCAGGACUAGGAGGCCAAUAAAACAGAAAGGACCUCAAGAUUUGCUAUUUAAGACAAACAAGUAAGUAUGAACUGGGUAGCAGGCUAAGUCAUAUCAACCUGAAUAUAAUAAAAGGCCCAUAUUAGGUCUGAGUCACAGGAGGGAAUUACCAGAUUACAAUCUAGUCGUGUUGCUUUAAGG
rnacentral:lncRNA from 1 species